UUUUUUUUUUUUUUUUUUUAAGAAGUUUGAAGACAUUAAAGCAGUGGCUUUUGCAUGUGUUUUCUAUGACAAGUUUCUCCUUAUGCCUCAUUUAGUCUGGCCCAUUUACACAGGGGGUAAUAAUAUAUGAAACAUCCCAUUUCAGGAUCAGUAAGACAAACCAUCAAUGCCCAUACUGUCUUUUACAGUGGCAGUAGAAAAUGCCACUGGAAGAAAGUAGAAGAGGCCAGUUCCCUACUGUCCACAAGAUUUGGUUAAAAGAUGCCAGAAGUUAACAUACAUCACUGCCUAUUCCCUUUAAGGAAUUUUUUACAGCCUUUUAAAGGCUGUGACAGUAUCUCCCUUUUGUCUAUUCUAAAUUAGCUCUACCAAGCGCUCGCUCAUCCUAGCAUUGCAAGAUGUAGUAAAUUUUACUUCUGCAUUGACCUUUCCACUACCCACAUAUUUUAAAAAAUUUUCCUUUCAAACUUCUCAUUUCCCUUUUAAACAGCUUUGACCUUUUGAAUCUUUCCUUAUAAGACUACGGUGACAUCCCCUCAAAAAUUUUAGCUGCCUUUUGCUGUACCUUGUCUAUCUCCACUACAUUUUUCUUGAGGACCCAGAAAUUUUAAGUUCACAAGAUGAGGGGUUUACAUGGUGAAAUUUUGCUCCUUGUGAUAUUUUCAACACCUUUCCUGUCAAUACUCUGCAUUUUACUGGCUUCAUUAUAGGAGGCUUAUACUGAAUACUAUCACAGUGAUUUUUGUAAACUGACUGCAAUGUUUCCAGGAUCACUUUCCUGAGUUGUAAUCCUGAAAAUCCUGAAUUCUGUAGGUGCACUUCAAAUUCUUUUUCUCUAGAUGCAUUGUUUUUCUUUUAAUGAAAUAGAUACCUUCUUUUUUCAUUCAGUUUUGUGAACUUCUUCUGGAGUUCCUCACUGCCUAUUGUAAGAGCUUGGUAUAAUUUUCAAAUGUGAGGUGUUUUUCCCUUUCCAGAUCACUGGUGAAGAAUAUUAAUAAAUCUGGUCCUUAUACUAGUCCCUGCUGAAAUCAAUUGCCAAUAUUUUUCCACUCUAUAGAGGGUUAACUUUUUUUUCCAGCCUUUGUCCAUCUUCCAGUAGAUAAAAGAUCAUUUUCUGUAAUCCUAUGGCUAUGCAAGGUUGGGUUUUUUAUAUACCUUUAGCAGGUAAUCUAGACAAAGACUUUUUGGAAAUCAAGUGUACUAUUCCCUUUGCCCAUGUUAUAAUUCCAGCAGACCAGGGAGAUAGGACAGCCCUUCACUCCAGCCAUGCUGACACCUUAUCAAUAGAUACUGUUUAUUCAUGUAUUCAGCAAUCCCUACAGACCUGUUCUACCAUUUUCUCAUGAGUCAGACUCACUGCUAAGUAGUUCCAGGAUCCCCGUCCAGCACAUGCUGUGCAUAGCCAAAAGUUCUGCAGUAUGUCUCACAUCCUCCUAAUGCUUUGGUGAAUGUCAUCUGGUCCUGGUGACUUAUUAACAUUUAAUUCUUCUGGGUAGUCUAAAUACUCUGGGUAUGCCUGCCUCAAAUCAAACUAUCUAAUCUGAGCUCUCUGUUAUAAAAGUUAGGUUAUGGGAGCUUUACCAAGACAGAAAUGAAGAAUCUACUGAGUUUCUUUGUUGUGGCUCUUUUGCUUCCGGUUGCUCCUUAUUUCCAGUCCUCAGACAGUCCCACCAUUUAUUUUCCACCCUUGCUUCCUGCUUGUCUGGAUAGGGCUGCUUGACAUCCAGGAGUAAGGUAUCCAGCACCUUCUGGGAUGCUCUCUUCUGCCCUGUAGAUGUUUAAGUUUUUGAAGACAUUGAUAUUAUCACCUUGGCUGGGGUCCAAGAUAGUAUUAAUUUCAUCCUCUAUUUAUCUUCACUGUGAUGCUCAUGAUUUUAUAGGUAUCUCUCAUAUCGUAUCUCAGGGGAACGCUCCUUGCUGAAUAGCCUGUCCUAGAAAGAAAAUCUUUUCCUUUCAUACACUUGAACACCCUUAUCCUCCUUUGGGCCUUCAUCUGGAGAUCUUUGGUUUCCUUACCAAUUAUCCUUUGCCUGGUUUGAAUUGUUUUGUGCAAUUUGGGAUCAUUUUUGUCUGGAUUGUAACCUGCAAAGCUGAACAUUCUGCAACCUUGCUUGUUUUCCUGCAAAUAAAUCCUGCAAACUUGUUUAGUUUCUUUCCCAGGGCUCCAAGUUUGUAACAGACCCUGGCAUGGGCAUUUGCAACUCUUUUAAAUCAUAUGUACCUGUCCUCACUCCACAUUCAAAAAGCAUCCUGUAUUUUCAUUUGGGUUUUCUAGGAAUAAAGAACAUGCAUGCACGCUAGGAACAGUGCCCAUCAUGGUUAUUCAUAUACAGUUAAACUUAGAGAUGAACUAAGUUAGGUGUUCACUAUCUGUCAGGAAACAAGCUUGUCAGAAAGCUAACUCUUCAAAUGAAAAGAGUGCAGUUUUGUAUUGGAUUAAGAAACUUAAUCAUAAUCCAAGCAUAUCGUGCUUGGCAUGCUAGAGCAAGAGAGUUAUGCAAGUGCAAGCAUGGGAAGAAAGGGAAUAAACAGCCUCUGGAAGGCAAUGAGCCAUGGCCAGACUACACCUGACCUGCACCCUGACUCACUGCAGGCGGGACACACACUGAUUGAUCUGUGACUCACUACAGGCAGCCACAGACUGAUUGCAGAGGGGAGCUGGGUGAAUGCUGAAAGCUGGUGCAUUUUGGACAAGCUGGGUUUACUGCACACUUGCACAGCAACUGUAUUGGGUGUUUGUGCCCUGGUGCUGGCAGCAGGGGGCUGCGAGGGUGGCCUUUGUGAGAAGGAACCAGGACCUGUCCCUGCGCUGGGCAGAGACAGUUCCAAAUUGUUCCAAAGCUGAGGCACCGCAUGACAGACAGCUGAGCCUGUUCACCAUGCUCGUGGCACCUCUACAAAAACAUAUUUAAAAAGGGGUUAGAAACCUGCAGAGGAGCAGAGAGAGAGAGAGGCUUGAGAAAAUGUGAGAGAAACAGCCCUGGAGACACCUAGAUCAGAAAAGGAGAGGAAGGAGGUGCAGGGACUCCCCUACAGCCCCUAGAAUACAAUGGAGCAGAUACUCACUGUGCAGCCUAUGGAAUUGCCUAUGCCACAGCUUGUGGAUGUGCCCUUGAAGAAACAUGCAGCUCACGGAGUGGAGAGCCCACAUAGAUUUCCAGGAAGAAGCUGCAGCAUCCACAGUGGAGCAGUCUGUUUUUGAAGGACUAUACCCUAGUGGAAGGACUCGCUGGAGCAGCAGGAAAAUGUGAGGAGGAAGCAGCAGCAGAGAGAAGCAGGCAUGCACGGAUUGCAACCCCCCCAUUCUCCAUCUUCUUCAUCCAUCCGUCCCACUUGGGUAGGAGGAAGCAGAAGAGUUAGAAAAUUGAGCAAAAAGGAUUGAAGUUGAAGCUGGGAAAAGGGUCUGGA
ensembl:lncRNA